AUAGUCACCUGGCAGGGGAGAUCCCAUGACUAAGAAGGAAGUUUUCCCAGGGUGAGGCUCACCCAUUGCACUCCGGACGGAAGUGCUGACCCCUGUGAUUUCCCCGAAUGUGGGAAACCUGACUGCAUAAUUUGUGGUGGUGGGGGACUGUGUUCAUGAUCUCCCC